UUCAACUAGCCUACCGGUUAAAUUAAGGUGAAUGAAUAAUAAACAAUGCCACAGAUGUCUCAAGUUGAGGGAGCGUGCAAUUAGCAUGCAAGAAUGUCCACCAGAGAUGUCGACAGAGAUUUAAUGAUAAUUUCUCUACCAUAAGCCGCCUCCAACGUCAUUUUAGAGAAGUUGCGCCCAACUGGUCUUACAUCCACAGACCACGUGUAACCACGCCAUCCCAGGACCUCCACAUCCAGCUUCUCACCUGUGGGAUUGUCUGAGCCAGCUACCUGGACAAUGAUGAACAGGGAGUUUUCUGUCUGUAUGAAAGCCUUUUUUGUGUUGGAAAACCCCAUUCGGAUUGGCUGCGGCCCUUCCCCAGUCAUGUGAAAUUCAUAGUAAGGUCUAAUCAUUCAUUUCAAUUGACCGAUUUCUUAUAUGAACUGUAACUCAGUGAAAUCUUUUGAUUGCUGCGUUUAUAUUUGUAUUCAGUAUAGAGAUGAUAUACUGAAAAUUACACUGCACAAAAUAUAAAUAUAUAUUAAAUGUAAAGUGCUGUCUCAUGUUUCAUGGUCCCAGUCUUGACUGUCCCACAUCAUUUAGAUGUGCCUUUGUUCUUCUGGUCCCACUUCCCCACACUACAGUUCAGGCCCACUCCCCACAGCCUUACCGCUUCAGGCCCACACCUGAUCCCCUUACCAGCUUCAGGCCCCCUUCCCCACACCCUUAUCCCCUUACCAGCUCAGGCCCACUUCCCCACACCCUGAUCCCCUUACCAGCUUCAGGCCCACUUCCCCACACCUGGCCCCCUUACCAGCUCAGGCCCACUUCCCACACUCUGGCCCCUUACCAGUGCAGGCCACUUCCCCACACUCUGGCCCCUUCCAGCUUCAGGCCCACUUCCCCACACUCUGGUCCCCUUACCAGCUUCAGGCCCACUUCCCCACACUCUGGCCCCUUACCAGCGUCAGGCCCACUCCCACACUGGUCCCUUACCAGCUUCGGCCCACUUCCCCACCCCUGUCCCCUUACCAGCUUCAGGCCCACUUCCCACACCCUGAUCCCCUUUUCCAGCUUCAGGCCCACUCCCCACACUCUGGCCCCCUUACCAGCUUCAGGCCACACUCUGGUCCCCUUACCAGCUUCAGGCCCACACUCUGGUCCCCUUACCCGCUUCAGGCCCACUCCCCACACCUGAUCCCAUUACCAGCUUCAGGCCCACUUCCCCACAUCUGGCCCCACUCUGGUCCCCUUACCAGCUUCAGGCCCACUUCCCCACACUCUGGCCCCCUUACCCGCCUCAGGCCCACACUCUGGCCCCCUUACCAGCUUCAGGCCACUUCCCCACACUUGGCCCCCUUACCAGCUUCAGGCCCACUUCCCCACACUCUGGCCCCCUUACCAGCUUCAGGCCCACUUUCCACACCUUGGUCCCCUUACCACUUCAGGCCCACUUCCCCACACUCUGGCCCCUUACCAGCUUCAGGCCCACUUCCCACCACUCUGGUCCCUUACCAGCUCAGGCCCACUUCACACCCUGAUCCCUUACCAGCUUCAGGCCCAUUCCCCACACCCUGGCCCUUACCAGCUUCAGGCCCACUUCCCCACUCUGGCCCCUACCAGCUUCAGGCCCACAUCUGGUCCCUUACAGCUUCAGGCCCCACUUCCCACCUCGGCCCCUUACCAGCUUCAGGCCCACACCACUCUGGCCCCCUUACCAUUCAGGCCCACACUCUGGCCCCCUUACCAGCUUCAGGCCCACUUCCCCUACUCUGGCCCCCUUACCAGCUUCAGGCCCACUUCCCCACACUCUGGCCCCCUUACCAGCUUCAGGCCCACUUCCACCACUCUGGUCCCUUACAGCUUAGGCCCACUCCCACACCUGGCCCCUUACCAGCUUCAGGACCACUCCCCACAUCUGGCCCCUUACCAGCUUCAGGCCCACACUCUGGCCCCUUUACCAGCUUCAGGCCUUACCAAAAGAACACACAGGAACUCUAGUUUAAAAAGCCAUUUCAGAUGUACAUUUAUUUAAAUGCCAAAAGCACAAGUGUGAAUGUGUGCGCAGUGUAGACUCGCUGUUUGGCACUUCUGUCGUCCGACUUGGGCCAGUGGGCGUGUAGCCUAGCAUGUAGGAAGACUGAGGCGGGGACAGACUUUGUAUCUAAAGUCCCGUUCCAACAUACACACACUGGCACGCAACUAAGAAUGAAGCUAUUUAUCAGGUCGGUCUGCGCAUUGUAAGACGGAUGCUAGACUGGACAUUGGAACAUAGGUUGGCAUUUUGUAAUGCACUAUAUAAAGCACUACUUUUGACCAGAUGACCAGAGACUUAUGGGCCCUGGUCAAAAGUAGUGUACUAUAUAGGGAAUAGGGGGCCAUUUGAGACAGCCUAUAACUUGCCAGACAAGCACUUCUUCUAGAACACAGUCAGAUCAAGUCUACAUCAGACCCCCACGUCAUCCCCUACUCCCCCCCUCUACUGUUCCAAGUUUUUGACCCGGAGUACAACAGGAACGGAGGUACAGGGGAUCAUGCCCAGGUCUGUGAUGACCAGGUCAACAAAAUCUGGUGGCGUUACGUCGUAGACCAGAUUCAACAGCCCCAGGGAGCUGACAUCAUGCCAGUUCUCCAGCUGGGUCUUCCCCUUCCGGGUCACCAUCAGGUCAUCGGGGUCAUCUGAGGACAGAAAGUGAUUGGUCGAAGUCGAGGGUUAGUGAAAGUCUUACUGCUAAUGAUUACUAAAGUUUGUGUCAAUUCUGUUUCAAGUCUAGUCAGUUUAGGAAUAGAAUAGAAUUUAAAAUGUGGAUACGUUUGUCUAUCAAAGUAAAAAUCACAUUUGCACAUCCUUAUCUGUGUUAACUAGAAGCAGAAUGGAAAUGACUUGCUUUACAUAAACUAGAUUACUUCAUUAUCUCUAGAAAGAUAACCCCAUACUGUAGCUCUUUUACGUGUCAUAAUAAAGUCAACGAGGCCAAAAAAACUCCCACAGUACCAAGCUCGUUUGAGACGAAGGAGUCAGUCUGCACCCUCUCGCAGAACUUGUAUGUCUCACAGCAGACCAGAACCGGCACGUUGAAGGUCCUAGCCACCAGAGCUAUCUGAGAUGUGCCCACACGAGACAUCACGUAGCCAUUAGCCAGCAGAGCAUGGGCACCCAGGAACACCUUAGAUACCUGGGAGAGGGGGAGGUUAAAUGAAUACACCUAGAUGUUAAAUAUAUUGGACAUUUGUUACAAACAAAAACAGGACAGGGAAGAAAGAGGGUUAAACUGAGAAGCAUUGGAAGAAAAAUAAAUCACUGUUUGGAUUUUCUACAAGAGGACAACAACAUUUCUGAUUAAAUCAACUCAUGUCUAAAACACCAAAAGCCUAUGUUCUAAAUUCCAUGUAAUGGAAUGUGUAAUGUAAUGACACCUCCGGUCCCCCAAGGGGCAGUCAUCUGUUCUGGAAUCACCUCAGGUAGUAUGUACGAGAGGGCAGAGAUGAGGACCUAGGUCACCUCAGGUAGUAUGUACGAGAGGGCAGAGAUGAGGACCUAGGUCACCUCAGGUAGUAUGUACGAGAGGGCCGGGAUGAGGACGAGGUUACCUCAGGUAGUAUGUAAGAGAGGGCCGAGAUGAGGACCUAGGUUACCUCAGGUAGUAUGUACGAGAGGGCCGAGAUGAGGACGUAGGUGCAGCUGAUGCCUCGCUGUACGAGACGUCUCAGAGCCUCCCUUCCCUCCAGACGAGGCCGGCUGUCCACAACGAUCACACGGAACUUCCUGCUCUUAUCAUAUGCCUCGCAAAGGAUGUGGUUCACCAGGGACGAGCUACAGAGGGGGAGAAGAGACAUGAGAACUCAAUAACUGAUGCCUUCCUUAUUGACACCUAGCCUGGUCUCAGAUCUGCUACAGAGGGGGAGAACAGCUCGAUCACUAGACGAUCACUACUGGAUUGUAAAACCAACCCCCGACCCCUACACCCUAGGCACUACUGUAAAGCUGAGAGGAUUGGAAACAAUUCAAGCAAUAGGGAUGGAUACAGGGAGAGCUUCUCUGUGCGUCAUGCAGAGUGGCUGGGUGGCAACCACCUAUCCACUUCCAUGUUCUGUCAGAUAAAAUGACAGACGUUAGAUCUCACCAUCCAUAAACUAGAAUGACGUCUCCGUCACUGAUCUUCUCUAUGGCGUAUUUAGAGAUCGCCUUGGCAGCCAGAACUACGUUUUCGUUUAUGUAACGGUCUAUACACGUCUGCAGUUUGGUCUUCGCCUAGAAAAGAGAGAGAAAAUGGUUGUUGCCAUAAAAAUGGACAUGAUGAGUUAAAAUGUGACCAGAAACUGAAACUGGCCUGUUUAACAAACAAGAAUUAAAACUGUAUUCUGAAACUCACUUCCUCUUCUUUGAAGUGACUAGGAAUAUUGGAGAUUUCUUUCUUGAUYUACUUGAUUGCGUUGCCCAUGCUCGCUGACAGGGGGCGACAUUGAUUGAGAAAACUGCAAAAACAAAAGUAAAAUACACAAAAUGUUUGUCAUGAUUUCUUCAAUCAGCUUCAUAUUAAAUCAGGGUUUGACAUUAACUUUUGUAGCCAUUUGUCCUAUGGACAAGUAUGACAAAAGCUCAAGUCAUGGGGCGCCAGGGUAGCCUAGUGGUUAGAGCGUUGGACUAGUAACCGGAAGGUUGCAAGUUCAAACCCCCAAGCUGACAAGGUACAAAUCUGUCGUUCUGCCCCUGAACAAGUUACAGUUAACCCACUGUUCCUAGACCAGUUAACCCACUGUUCCUAGACCAGUUAAUCCACUGUUCCUAGGCCAUCAUUGAAAAUAAGAAUUUGUUCUGAACUGACUUGCCUAGUUAAAUAAAGGUAAAAUUUUAAAAAAUUGUCCGUCCCCCCCAAAAGCAGUCUGUAACACCGGUUUUCCAUCAUUGUAUGAUGCAAGGAACCACUUCACAAAAACAAAAUGCUCGACAAUUUUUUUUUAACCACAGAGAGACAAAAAUGUAGGCUACACUCUGUCUUAUGGCGUCUCUGCAUGGUCAAGCCCGUCUCAAAAUACAAACACUGCCCCUUUAAGGCUCUCCUGGAAGAUGAUUGGCCCCCCUUGGUAGCCUAUAAAAUAUUGCAAUAUUACAAUUACAACCAAAUACUUUUUAUGUUUUUAUAAAAUAAUUCCCUCCGGGGAUCGAAAUUAAGGGGAUCCCGUUGUCCCGGGGACAAUCGAAAAAUAUGUCUACGGUUCAAAACUGACUGGGACAAUUCUGGGACGACAGAUCCACAAUUCAUACAACCACUGUGCAUUAAAACAUGUUUUAAAAAAGCAACGAGGCUGAUGCAACAGAUCAGAACGUUUAGUUUAAAAAUGUUAUGUUUUAUUACCUGAUAGUAUAAGAAGGUUAACAUGGCUGUAGGCUACGCGCAAAUGAUCCAAAAUGGCUGUAGGCUACGCGCAAAUGAUCCAAAAUGGCUGUAGGCUACGCGCAAAUGAUCCAAAAUGCAAUUAGAGGGAAAACACUGUUCUCAAACGCGCAAGCAGUUUCAUGGGACAUAGAUUGAAAUGGCUGUUUGAUAUUAAGAGGGGAGAUCUAAAGAGGCAUCAACUAGCACACGGGUUACUAAUAUGACUGGGAUUAUCAAUAGACUACCACACGGGUUACUAAUAUGACUGGGAUUAUCAAUAGACUACCACACGGGUUACUAUUGAAUGGAUUAUCAAUAGACUACCACACGGUUACUAAUAUGACUGGGAUUAUCA
ensembl:lncRNA